UCCCAGUGAAGAAACACUCAGACAUCUUACCUCCUGUCCUAGUCCCAGAGCCUGUAAAGGCAAAACCACUGGGGCUGGCUGGGGGCGAAGAGGAAAGCUUGCUCCAGAAGGAACUGUCUGAGGGAU
ensembl:snoRNA SNORD22 Small nucleolar RNA SNORD22